GUUCAAGCACAUUGCAGUAAUCCUGACCUGAUUUUCCACUUCAUCAGGAAAAAGGCGCAGUAUGCUUAAGAGUAUAACAUAAAUUACUCUCCAUCUUUAAAUCAUGUUUCACUCUUUGCCAGCAGCCAGCCUGGGCUAUGAGGUAACCAUGGGAAUGGAGGUUCACGCACUAUGGAACAAGGAAGAAGAGUGCAUACACGUCUCAGGGGAUGUAAAGAGAAGACACUGGUGAAAAGACUGAUGACUGUACUCCAAUACAUUCUGUAGCAAUAGAACUCUUGAUUUUUAUCUAGCCACGUGGCCACCUGAAAUAAAACCUACAUUUCCCAACCUCUCUUGCAAUUAAGUACAUGGUCUUCAGGUCAUGUGACU